rnacentral:rRNA from 1 species
UACGUAGGGGGCGAGCGUUGUCCGGAUUUAUUGGGCGUAAAGCGUGCGUAGGCGGCUGUGUAAGUCGGUUGUGAAACCCCGGGGCUCAACCCCGAAACUGCAUCCGAUACUGCGUGGCUAGAGGUAGGUAGGGGAGAGCGGAAUUCCUGGUGUAGCGGUGAAAUGCGCAGAUAUCAGGAAGAACACCGGUGGCGAAGGCGGAUCUCUGGGCCGUACCUGACGCUCAGGCACGAAAGCGAGGGGAGCGAACAGG